rnacentral:misc_RNA from 1 species
UUAAGUUCAGCGGGUAUCCCUACCUAAUCCGAGGUCAACCAUUAGAAGUAUGGGGGUUUUACGGCAGGCACCCAGGACUACUGCAGAAGCGAGAAAUAGUUUACUACGCUUAGAGUACGCCCUGACUCCGCCACUAUCUUUAGGGAGCUACGCCCUAAGACGUAGACUCCCAACGCUAAGCAACAGAGGCUUAAGGGUUG